AGGCUGCUAAACCGAAUUAACCCG
rnacentral:siRNA from 1 species